rfam:Streptomyces sp. NRRL F-6491 P443contig31.1, whole genome shotgun sequence.
GCCGGUCCUCGGUAGUGGCCCCCGGAACCGAAUCCCGGGUGCUUCGAUCGAAGACCGGC